rnacentral:rRNA from 1 species
AAACGAACGCUGGCGGCAUGCCUACCCUUUGCAAGUCGAACGAGGCCCUUCGGGGUUUAGUGGCGCACGGGUGCGUAACGCGUGGGAAUCUGCCCUUUGGUUCGGAAUAACAGCUGGAAACGGCUGCUAAUACCGGAUGAUGACAAAAGUCCAAAGAUUUAUCGCCAGAGGAUGAGCCCGCGUUGGAUUAGGUAGUUGGUGGGGUAAAGGCCUACCAAGCCGACAAUCCAUAGCUGGUCUGAGAGGAUGAUCAGCCACACUGGGACUGAGACACGGCCCAAACUCCUACGGGAGGCAGCAGUGGGGAAUAUUGGACAAUGGGCGCAAGCCUGAUCCAGCAAUGCCGCGUGAGUGAUGAAGGCCCUAGGGUUGUAAAGCUCUUUUACCCGGGAAGAUAAUGACUGUACCGGGAGAAUAAGCCCCGGCUAACUCCGUG